CUUCGGGAGGACGGUUACCACGGUGUGAUUCAUGACUGGGGUGAAGUCGUAACAAGGUAGCCGUAGGGGAACCUGCGGCUGGAUCACCUCCUUAAUCGACGA
rnacentral:rRNA from 1 species